UUUUAAUUAGCUGUGAAAAGCUGUCAAAAAUUAAUGAUAACUAAUCUUUAAAAAAUAUGUUAUUUUAGAAGCUGUUAUAGAGUUGUUCCCCUUAGCUCAUGCAUUUAUUAAUUCUAUGUAUUAAAUGUGCCAAAAUCUAGUCAGGAUUUCUCAUCUUUUAAUGAUAUCAGUUCUAAAGGUUAUGUCUGUAGCAUAACGAUCACAUGUACAUAAAACAUUAAAAAAGUUUAUUUUCCUGUUAAACUUGAGAAAACUUUUGUUGAUUAUCUUCCUAAAGUGUAAAUGAAGAGUACCGGUAAGUUGUAUUGUAGUUUUAAAUGUGUCUGUGAUUUACUUUGCAAAGGUAUUAGACUUUAAGAUUGGUCACAUCCUAUAUACUUGCAACCCUUUGGAAAGUCCCUCUAAAAGAGUAGACAACCCUUCUUUUAAGGACAAUUGUAUUAUAUAUUAAAACAGGAUUAUGAAACUUACCUUUAUAUGAGGUCAUUUAUAUUUUAUUCCCCAUAGAAAAAAUCUUUUCAAUGAUCUGUAACAGUUGUGUUCUUUUAAAUAUGAUGUCAUCAAGCUUGAUAAUCUUUUACCGUGAAGUCACACAAUUGCAAUUAGUAGAAAGCAAGAAAAUUUGACAACAUAAUUAAACUUUGACCAAUGAAGUAAUGAGAUCGAGAGCACAACACUUUGAUUAUAAAAAAGUAAUCAAUUCCUUGGGGAAAACAAUAAAUAGACUGAGAAUUAUAGCAUAUUUUUUAAAGUAUUGAGGCAUUUUGUAUCAUUAAUUACACGUUAUAAUGUCAUUCAUAUUUUAUUUCACUGUUUUUUUAGAUUUUACAUUUAUUACCACUAUGUUAAACAUAUCAAUACCUGACUUCUCUAGAAUGUCACAAACACUGAUAACAAACAUAUACUUUAUAAUAACAAAUUUAAGACAAGCUUUUGGAGAAUAAAGACAUACUUAUUAUUAUUUUUUCUUUGUCACUGAAAUUACAAAAUUUAGUAUAAAAGAAAUGAGUUGAAUUACAAUAGGUAUAUUGUGCAUAAACGCAAUAUAAAAAUAAUGUUAGAAAACACUACUGAUAUAUGUCCUAUAUGGAACUUAUAUUAACUUGUAUAUUCUAGAUUUUCCCCAUUAUUAUCCAAUUGUAUCUUUAAAAUUCUGUAUGUCACUGGUCCCUUGUCAUUAAUGAGCUAAUAAUUCGGAAUCAAAUUUUGGAACCUAUAUUUACUGUAUUAUUAGAUUUAUAUGCCUGAAGAUAUAUAUUUAGAUAGGUUCCAAUCAUAAACUCACAACAGAAAAUUUUACUAUACAACCAGUUAAGUGGCCUUGAGCAAGCAUAAAGCUUUAAUACAAAUAUUGCAUAAUAGAUAUAGUUACAGAUGAUCUAUUUGAAUGUGUACAAAGACCAAUGAUGUUCAGUGUGUUUGUUUGUUCAAUGAACCUGGUCAAUAAAAUAUAUGUAAAAUAACCAUAGAAUAGGAUUUUUUCAAUCAGAAAAAUUUAUCAGGUUUAAAGUAUUAAUGCAUUGCGAAAAACGAAUAUUUCAUCAAUGAAAUUCCAGUCAGAUGUUCUCAUGAAUAUCCUUUUUAUAUUAGAAUCAAAUUUUUUUUAAAGUCUGAUACAGUUUUGUCGUAAGCGAGACGUUCCAACUGAGGCACUACACAGGCAUCAAAAGGCGUCAUUAUGAAGGAAAGGGUUAAUGUCAAUUCAGAAAUUGUUGCAUCCAUUAAUUAAUUCAUUGCAAUAUUUGAUGGAAGGGAAGAGUUUAAGAUAACUAAUUGCCAUUUCCUGGAAAUCAUACAGAGAUAAGUAUGGGAUAUCUGAAUGUUAUUUUUUUGCGAUACUCUCUAAGUUGCAUAAUUCCCAUUGAUAAACACCUAACAGUAAUUUCAUUAUUUGCAGUAUACAAAACUUGGAAACAACCAAUUUUACCAUUUUGUUUUAUAAUAGCUAGAACAACACUGUUCACUGAAGGAAAAAACAACCUUAAGAUUUAACAUGCUUGGUACACAUUCAAUUGAAUUAGAUGCAAGUAUAUAUUGUACUUAAUACAUAUUUAUAUGCGAGAAUCUUUAAAUGUGAUGAGAUAUUUGUUUGAAAGUGUUUAAAUGUUUGACAAAAUGAUAUCCUGAUAAGUUUUAUAUAAUAUUUAUGUUAGGUAGAAAAUAUAAUUUAUCAUUUCUCUUAAAAUAAAAAGAGAAUUAUAAUUUUAAGAGUUUCAAUAUUCCAGCAUCUUACAGUUGUCAACAUUAAUUUAUUCAAAUUUUAAGUUCAAUGAAAUCCUGUUAUUUUAUAACAAUCAAAAAAGCUUUAUGUCUUAAAUUCACAUUUGUUCCUCAGAGGAGAAGGAAAAUAAGAAAUAUUUUAAUUGUGUUACUUUUGAUCAAAGGGAAAUAACUGGAGAUUAUUUUAUAUUAAGAAAAAUAUGAUUAAAGUAACAUAUUCUUAACAUGGAAUGGAUCAUUUUUACAAGUUAUAGUAAAAUAUAAAGUAGAUUCUAAGUAUCUUUUUUUUAUUUUUGAGGGCUAAUGGUAGAAAAUGUUAAAUUACUCCAGGUCAUGUUUCAGAAAUGGGAGUUAUCAUUUUGUUUUCAUUUUGUUAACAUAAGCUAAUUGUUUCAUAUUUAUUUUGUUCAAAACAAAACAAAUUUUCUUUGUGAACUCUUUGCUUAAUUUAUAUGUAGAUAAAGAAGAAAUGUGAUAAUUUAUUUUCUCUUGAGUACAUACAUUGUAUUUGAUAUUAGUGUUUCAAAGAAAAUUUAUUUUUUGUCUGGGUUAAAUUGAUUUAGUUUACUACUGUGGUUUCUCUGUAGGCCUUAUUUCAUUACAUGAACUGUCUAUUUAAUAAGUUUAUUAAGAUUAUUUGUCCGACUCCAAAGAUUGAAGAUUUUAAUUUAGA
rnacentral:lncRNA from 1 species